rnacentral:rRNA from 1 species
UACGAAGGGGGCAAGCGUUGUUCGGAAUGACUGGGCGUAAAGGGCGCGUAGGCGGUUCGUUGCGUUCAGAUGUGAAAGCCCCGGGCUCAACCUGGGAACUGCAUUUGAUACGGGCGGGCUUGAAUCCAAGAGAGGGUGGUGGAAUUCCCAGUGUAGGAGGUGAAAUUCGUAGAUAUUGGGAAGAACACCAGUGGCGAAGGCGGCCACCUGGCUUGGUAUUGACGCUGAGGCGGCGAAAGCGUGGGGAGCAAACAGG